rnacentral:rRNA from 1 species
UACGGAGGGUGCGAGCGUUGUCCGGAAUCACUGGGCGUAAAGGGCGCGUAGGCGGCAUGCCAAGCGUGUGGUGAAAGCCCGGGGCUCAACCCCGGGUCGGCCGUGCGGACUGGCGUGCUCGAGCACUGUAGGGGCGGGUGGAAUUCCGGGUGUAGCGGUGGAAUGCGUAGAGAUCCGGAAGAACACCGGUGGCGAAGGCGGCCCGCUGGGCAGGAAGGCUCGCAAGAGCCGGCUGGCGCUGAGGCGCGACAGCGUGGGGAGCAAACAGG